UGCUAUGGAUGACCAGNAUUUUUGUGUGGA
rnacentral:piRNA from 1 species